AUGAUGGCCACGAUAUAAUGAAACCACAUUGUGGCCAAGGGAGCAGCAACACUGCCUCUGUGGAGCAGCCAGAGGAGGAAGAAGAGGAGGAGGAGGAAGGCGCAAGGCGCACGCAGGAACGCAGGAGGGAGAAGCCGAGGCGCAGGAAGAAACUUCUCGGAGGAAGAAGAGGAGGAGGGGGAGGAAGACCCAGAGUGGAAUUCUCCGUGGGGGAGAGAAGAGAAGCGACAGAAAGAAGCGGAGGGUUCCCUGCACUCCUUCCCUGGAGCUCCUGGAAGGAAGAAUCCCGAGAUUGGCGCCAGGAGCGAACUUGGGAGAGCUGCGUCGGAAUGGCACCUGUUUCUGGCCACGUUUUUGUGUUCCAGGUGGGAGGGCAUCGAGGAGGAGGUAAAGGUGGCCGGAGACGGAGAAGAGGGUGUGCUUGCUUCCGAGAUAAAAGGAGAAGAAGAGCUCUAUCUCCCUUGCCUUUGGUUUUGUGGCUUUGGGGGGAGAAGAGGAAGGCGCGCCAAGGAGGCCAAGGGCUGCUUUGUUGAACUUUUCCUCCCAUUUUCUCAAUUCUAACUCUGCUGUGUCAUCAUGAGGAGACAUUAUCAGCUUGGCGCCUGAGAAGCGGAUUUCAUUGACUGAAGAACUAUUUGGUAGUUUCCAAGGCAACUACCUGAAGAACCAUUUUAAAAAAUCCCAAAACGACAGAAGGCUUUUGUAUGAGGUGAAAGGUUGUGUACACUUCUUUCAUCCACUCCAUCUUCCCUUUUUUUGGAAAACAAAUUGUUUUGUUUCUUCUCAAGAACGUUUCCAUCUUUUACUACUGAGAAUCUUUGAAGUCUAGCCAGGAGGUUGAUUAUACAAUGGAGAAUUGGACCAAAUCUCAUGGGUCAUCACAAAGAAAUGGCCUUAUGGGAGGAAGAAUCCCUCCUAAAUCUUCAACCUUGAAAGAGAACAAUCUCCAGGUACCUCCGUGGAUGAGGUCAUUCUUUGGAAAUGAUCCCAGAUCUUCUACUGCCUUCUGGAUCCAUGUUAAUUUAUGACUCCUUCAACCAGGUGUUUCUCCAACCUGCCUUGAUUUCCAACAAUGGUAGCUCCUUCAUACAACUCCUAGACAAUCUGUUUUAUUACAUUACCUAGUUGUUCCUAAUUUCUAAACUUUGGAACUCAUUUUAUUUUGCCCACAAUUGACCGAAAGAUCUGAUCAUCAUUUUCUUCAAGACAAUCCAAUCUGUUAUGGUUUCCUCACUGUCGUCUCCAAAUUAAGCAAGUUUCUGACUCCAGGCUUCCAUCACAAUGCCCUGCCAUUGUGGUUCAGGAGUGUAAGUGGCCAGGCGCUUGUUGCUAUGGCCUACUAUUGUGAUGUGGCCAGCAUUGUGGAGCAGCUCAGUGGAGUAAAUUCCUGUCUUCUGUUAGUCAGAAAGACUACUUCAGGUUGGAGUUUGGAGAAAGGCUCAGACAGCUUAGAAGAUAAUGGUGGAAGUCCAUCCUUUUGUGCUACUAAAGAGAGAACAUGCAAAUGAAAUCCUGGGUGUGGCGAAGCCGCUACCUCGAACCUGAUCUGUCAUUUGGAUUAUGCACUCUUCGUUUGCUCCAUCGUAAUUACUCUCCCCACCAAGUGCAUCCGAUGAAACUAUAUGAAGGCAGGACUUUGGGACGGCUACUUGGAAUGCACCUUAAAGACCUGGAUGACGACAUCUGGAAGUAAGUGAAACAAUACAACA